UACGGGGGGGGCAAGCGUUGUUCGGAAUUACUGGGCGUAAAGGGCUCGUAGGCGGCCAACUAAGUCAGACGUGAAAUCCCUCGGCUUAACCGGGGAACUGCGUCUGAUACUGGAUGGCUUGAGGUUGGGAGAGGGAUGCGGAAUUCCAGGUGUAGCGGUGAAAUGCGUAGAGAUCAGCAGGAAUACCCGUGGCGAAGGCGGCCCCCUGGGCCGAACCUGACGCUGAGGCGCGAAGGCUAGGGGAGCGAACGGG
rnacentral:rRNA from 1 species